rnacentral:rRNA from 1 species
UACAGAGGUCUCAAGCGUUGUUCGGAUUCAUUGGGCGUAAAGGGUGCGUAGGCGGCGCGGUAAGUCGGGUGUGAAAUCUCGGAGCUUAACUCCGAAACUGCAUUCGAUACUGCCGUGCUUGAGGACUGGAGAGGAGACUGGAAUUUACGGUGUAGCGGUGAAAUGCGUAGAUAUCGUAAGGAAGACCAGUGGCGAAGGCGGGUCUCGUGGA